rnacentral:tRNA from 1 species
GCCCGAGUGGCGGAAUGGUAGACGCGGUGGACUCAAAAUCCACUGAUGGCGACAUCGUGGGGGUUCAAGUCCCUUCUCGGGCA